GAUGAACGCUGGCGGCGUGCCUAAUACAUGCAAGUCGAGCGAACGGACGAGAAGCUUGCUUCUCUGAUGUUAGCGGCGGACGGGUGAGUAACACGUGGAUAACCUACCUAUAAGACUGGGAUAACUUCGGGAAACCGGAGCUAAUACCGGAUAAUAUUUUGAACCGCAUGGUUCAAAAGUGAAAGACGGUCUUGCUGUCACUUAUAGAUGGAUCCGCGCUGCAUUAGCUAGUUGGUAAGGUAACGGCUUACCAAGGCAACGAUGCAUAGCCGACCUGAGAGGGUGAUCGGCCACACUGGAACUGAGACACGGUCCAGACUCCUACGGGAGGCAGCAGUAGGGAAUCUUCCGCAAUGGGCGAAAGCCUGACGGAGCAACGCCGCGUGAGUGAUGAAGGUCUUCGGAUCGUAAAACUCUGUUAUUAGGGAAGAACAUAUGUGUAAGUAACUGUGCACAUCUUGACGGUACCUAAUCAGAAAGCCACGGCUAACUACGUGCCAGCAGCCGCGGUAAUACGUAGGUGGCAAGCGUUAUCCGGAAUUAUUGGGCGUAAAGCGCGCGUAGGCGGUUUUUUAAGUCUGAUGUGAAAGCCCACGGCUCAACCGUGGAGGGUCAUUGGAAACUGGAAAACUUGAGUGCAGAAGAGGAAAGUGGAAUUCCAUGUGUAGCGGUGAAAUGCGCAGAGAUAUGGAGGAACACCAGUGGCGAAGGCGACUUUCUGGUCUGUAACUGACGCUGAUGUGCGAAAGCGUGGGGAUCGAACAGGAUUAGAUACCCUGGUAGUCCACGCCGUAAACGAUGAGUGCUAAGUGUUAGGGGGUUUCCGCCCCUUAGUGCUGCAGCUAACGCAUUAAGCACUCCGCCUGGGGAGUACGACCGCAAGGUUGAAACUCAAAGGAAUUGACGGGGACCCGCACAAGCGGUGGAGCAUGUGGUUUAAUUCGAAGCAACGCGAAGAACCUUACCAAAUCUUGACAUCCUUUGACAACUCUAGAGAUAGAGCCUUCCCCUUCGGGGGACAAAGUGACAGGUGGUGCAUGGUUGUCGUCAGCUCGUGUCGUGAGAUGUUGGGUUAAGUCCCGCAACGAGCGCAACCCUUAAGCUUAGUUGCCAUCAUUAAGUUGGGCACUCUAAGUUGACUGCCGGUGACAAACCGGAGGAAGGUGGGGAUGACGUCAAAUCAUCAUGCCCCUUAUGAUUUGGGCUACACACGUGCUACAAUGGACAAUACAAAGGGCAGCGAAACCGCGAGGUCAAGCAAAUCCCAUAAAGUUGUUCUCAGUUCGGAUUGUAGUCUGCAAUUCGACUACAUGAAGCUGGAAUCGCUAGUAAUCGUAGAUCAGCAUGCUACGGUGAAUACGUUCCCGGGUCU
rnacentral:rRNA from 1 species